rnacentral:lncRNA from 1 species
CUGACUAGACCCAGCCCCUACUAACGGCAGUGGAUAGUAGGGGCUGGGUCUAGUGACGCAAUGUGGUUUUCAUUUUUUAGUUCAAGUGCUUUAAUCUUGCUUGUCCAAACAAUUAUGACAUCUUGUGAGGCUAGUUGUAUGCUCCAAUAGAAGGGGUAUUAUUUUUUUGGUAAAUGUAUCUGUCCAUCUUCCUGUCUGUUUCUUAAUCAAUUCCUAAUAAGGUUAUAGUCUUGAAAGAAGUUAAGGGUGAAGUUGUAGUCACUUCAACUUGAAAUGAAAUAAUAAAUGUUCCUUAUUAUGUAUUCUUUCUAAUUUGCAAUUCAAAUGAGGGCUUUUCACUCCUUUUUCAUGCUUCUGGUAUGCGGUUAACGAUUGAAAAAUAAGGAACAAGCAGUCAAACCGGGACUACAAAACACAAACCAGUCCAAGGCCACCAAAGGGCCCUCUAUACAGCCAGAAAUCCAUCAGCCAGAGGCUGUAUUGAACAGGUCCCGAAACACUUAUGUAUACUAGUUCAGGAAAAUGGACGCCACUCUACACUCCGAAACAUAGAUAUGAACAAAAUUAAAAAAAAAGUAUACAAGACUAACAAUGGCAAGAGUUUCCUGACAUAUGACUGGUGCAAUAAUGCUGCCGGCUUAAACGUGUUUACUUUUGUGAGAUCUCAACCUUCCCCCUAUAAGCAUGAUAAGUACAUUUUAAUAAGCUUUUAAAAAAAAAUACACCUUUAAAUAUCCCUUAUCAAUUAACAAAAGCCCUAUACGUAUAAAAAAAAUAACGUUUCAAACAUAUAAAAUUUAUCAAGAGUAGACCGAACGGAAAACUAUAUUUUUUUAAAAGAGACGGAACUGUUAGACCACUUGCGACCUGGGAGUAGAUCAAAUGGGAGUAGACCAACUGGAAUGUUACCAUUUUCAGUACCUGCUAAUA